UUUAAGUGCAACCAUGAGUUUCCACGCCCAACUUUAGUCGUCCGUCUUAUUUGAAAAUUUUUCGUAAUUAGUAUUUUUGUUAUUAUGAGAUGAUAAAACACGAAUAGUACUUUAUGCAUGACUUAUGUUUUUUAAUUUUUUUCAAAAAAUUUUAAAUAAGACGGACGAUUAAAGUUGGGUACGGAAACUCAUCGCUACACUUGAA
rfam:Oryza glumipatula chromosome 8, whole genome shotgun sequence.